GACGAACGCUGGCGGCAGGCCUAAUACAUGCAAGUCGGACGGGAUCCAUCGGAGAGCUUGCUCGAAGAUGGUGAGAGUGGCGCACGGGUGCGUAACGCGUGAGCAACCUACCCAUAUCAGGGGGAUAGCCCGAAGAAAUUCGGAUUAACACCGCAUGAUACAACUAUACUGCAUGGUAGGGUUGUUAAAUAUUCAUAGGAUAUGGAUGGGCUCGCGUGACAUUAGCUGGUUGGUAGGGUAACGGCCUACCAAGGCGACGAUGUCUAGGGGGCUCUGAGAGGGGAAGCCCCCACACUGGUACUGAGACACGGACAAGACUCCUACGGGAGGCAGCAGUAAGGAAUAUUGGUCAAUGGAGGGAACUCUGAACCAGCCAUGCCGCGUGCAGGACGACUGCCCUAUGGGUUGUAAACUGCUUUUGUACGGGAAUAAACCCCAUUACGGGUAAUGGGCUGAAUGUACCGUAAGAAUAAGGAUCGGCUAACUCCGUGCCAGCAGCCGCCGUAA
rnacentral:rRNA from 1 species